rnacentral:piRNA from 1 species
UGACAUAGGGCGUUGAUUCUCAGGCUUU